rnacentral:rRNA from 1 species
AAGAAUCUGGAGACAGGUGCUGCAUGGCUGUCGUCAGCUCGUGUCGUGAGAUGUUGGGUUAAGUCCCGCAACGAGCGCAACCCUUGCCUUUAGUUGCCAGCAGUUCGGCUGGGCACUCUAAAGGGACUGCCGGUGUUAAACCGGAGGAAGGUGGGGAUGACGUCAAGUCCUCAUGGCCUUUAUGACCAGGGCUACACACGUACACAAUGGCCGAUACAAAGGGCAGCGACACUGCGAGGUGAAGCCAAUCCCGUAAAAUCGGUCUCAGUCCGGAUUGGAGUCUGCAACUCGACUCCAUGAAGUUGGAAUCGCUAGUAAUCGUGGAUCAGCAUGCCACGGUGAAUACGUUCCCGGGCCUU